CCUACGGGGGGCAGCAGUAGAGAAUCUUUCACAAUGGGCGAAAGCCUGAUGGAGCAACGCCGCGUGCAGGAUGAAGGCCUUCGGGUUGUAAACUGCUUUUAUAAGCGAGAAAUAUGAUGGUAACUUAUGAAUAAGGAUCGGCUAACUACGUGCCAGCAGCCGCGGUCAUACGUAGGAUCCGAGCAUUAUCCGGAGUGACUGGGUGUAAAGAGUUGCGUAGGUGGCAUAAUAAGUAGCUAGUGAAAUCUGGUGGCUCAACCAUUCAGACUAUUAGCGAAACUGUUAAGCUCGAGACCGGUAGGGGUAAGUGGAAUGUGUAGUGUAGGAGUGAAAUGCGUAGAUAUUAGAAGGAACACCGAUAGCGUAGGCAGGUUACUGGGACGGUUCUGACGCUGAGGCACGAAAGCGUAGGGAGCAAACGGGAUUAGAUACCCUUGUAGUC
rnacentral:rRNA from 1 species